rnacentral:rRNA from 1 species
UCCAAUAGCGUAUNUUAAAGUUGUUGUCAGUUAAAAGCUCGUAGUUGAAUUCGGGGUUAGUAGGUUGGUCGUGCCUUUGGUAUGUACUGGUCUCACUGAUUCCUCCUUCUUGAAGAACUGUAAUGUCAUUAAUUGGUGUUGCAGGGAAACAGGACUGUUACUUUGAAAAAAUUAGAGUGUUUAAAGCAGGCAAUUGCUUGAAUACAUUAGCAUGGAAUAAUGAAAUAGGACGUUUGAUCCUAUUUUGUUGGUUUCUAGGAUUGACGUAAUGAUUAAUAGGGAUAGUUGGGGGCAUUAGUAUUCAAUUGUCAGAGGUGAAAUUCUUGGAUUUAUUGAAGACUAACUACUGCGAAAGCAUUUGCCAAGGAUGUUUUCAUUAAUCAAGAACGAAAGUUAGGGGAUCGAAGACGAUCAGAUACCGUCGUAGUCUUAACCAUAAACUAUGCCGACUAGGGAUCGGAUGAUGUUAAUUUUUUUAAUGACUCAUUCGGCGCCUUACGG